UACGUAGGGGGCUAGCGUUGCUCGGAAUGACUGGGCGUAAAGGGCGCGUAGGCGGUUUGGCCAGUCAGAUGUGAAAUUCCUGGGCUCAACCUGGGGGCUGCAUUUGAUACGUUCGGACUAGAGUGGGGAAGAGGGUCGUGGAAUUCCCAGUGUAGAGGUGAAAUUCGUAGAUAUUGGGAAGAACACCGGUGGCGAAGGCGGCGACCUGGUCCUUGACUGACGCUGAGGCGCGAAAGCGUGGGGAGCAAACAGG
rnacentral:rRNA from 1 species